ACUUUCCCCCUACUCCUGAAUGUCUAAAGAACUCUCAAUGCAUAUUAGCCAUCACCAUGGUUGAGACCCAGACCUCUGCAGAGACAAUCUUGAUCCUCUGGCUCCUGCUUCACAUUGCCCAUUCACCCUCAGCACUGAAAUCCUUACCUCAAGCGCUGGGAAUUCAGGCCAUGGAAGAUUAGGAGGCUCACAGCAGGAGCAAGUUAUCCUUCAAGAUUCAGGACAAAUGUCACUUCCUCAGUGAAGCCUUCUCUCCCUCCUUGGUGUCUCCAUAAUACUCUGCUUAGACUUCACAUAUAUCAUGUGUUUUCCUACUAGAUUCUGAACUCCCCGAGAGCGGCAACCCAUAUCUUAACUCUCUUUGCAUCAACAGAGCCCAAUACAAUGCC
rnacentral:lncRNA from 1 species